GACAGAGGUCCCGAGCGUUUUUCGGAUUCACUGGGCGUAAAGGGUGCGUAGGCGGUUGGGUAAGUCCGACGUGAAAUCCCGUGGCUUAACCACGGAAUUGCGUUGGAAACUAUCCAGCUCGAGGGUUGGAGAGGGGACUGGAAUUCUCGGUGUAGCAGUGAAAUGCGUAGAUAUCGAGAAGAACACCGGUGGCGAAGGCGAGUCCCUGGACAACUCCUGACGCUGAGGCACGAAAGCUAGGGGAGCAAACAGG
rnacentral:rRNA from 1 species